rnacentral:rRNA from 1 species
UAGGGAAUCUUCCGCAAUGGGCGAAAGCCUGACGGAGCAACGCCGCGUGAGUGAUGAAGGUCUUCGGAUCGUAAAACUCUGAUAUUAGGGAAGAACAAAUGUGUAAGUAACUAUGCACGUCUUGACGGUACCUAAUCAGAAAGCCACGGCUAACUACGUGCCAGCAGCCGCGGUAAUACGUAGGUGGCAAGCGUUAUCCGGAAUUAUUGGGCGUAAAGCGCGCGUAGGCGGUUUUUUAAGUCUGAUGUGAAAGCCCACGGCUCAACCGUGGAGGGUCAUUGGAAACUGGAAAACUGGAGUGAAGAAGAGGAAAGUGGAAUUCCAUGUGUAGCGGUGAAAUGCGCAGAGAUAUGGAGGAACACCAGUGGCGAAGGCGACUUUCUGGUCUGUAACUGACGCUGAUGUGCGAAAGCGUGGGGAUCAAACAGG